AAUGUGGCAUCAACCAACGACGGCAACACUGUCGGGUUGGGCUACACCACACACCAUGGUGUUUACAUUUAGCAGCUGAUCGUCGGCACACUUCGUCAGAUUGUAAUGGCUGAUGUUUAUACCAAUCCAGAGAAGCAUGUGGUACUUCACAACAAUGUUAAAUUGCCUGUUCUUGGCUUAGGUACAUCUCAUAAUGGUGGAUACAGCCAUGAAGCUGUGGUUUAUGCUCUGAAAAAUUGUGGUUAUAGACACAUUGACACCGCUAAACGAUACGGCUGUGAAACAUAUAUCGCCCAGGCAAUUAAGGCAUCAGGGGUACCACGGGAGGAAAUCUUUUUAGCAACGAAAUGUUGGCCAGCGGACUAUGGCGCUGCCACCACCAGAGAAGCCUUUAACGGCUCCUGUCAAAGACUAGGAACAGAUUACCUCGAUAUGUACCUCCUUCACUGGCCAGAUGUCCCAUCAGGUGUAAAGGACAAAAAGAAACUCUUACAGGACACAUGGCGGACGCUGGAGGUGUUACUUGACGAAGAGCGAGCAAGAGUCAUUGGUGUGAGUAACUUCUUGGAGCAUCACCUGGAAACAAUCAUGGAUGAGUGUUCUGUUGUUCCUCAAGUCAAUCAGUGUGAGUUUCAUCCAUACAACAACCCUAAAAAACUCCGUGCCUAUUGUGCAGAGAGGAACAUACAGUUUGAGGGCUAUUCUCCACUUGCUAAAGGCUUGGCCUUAAAGAACACUACAGUGAAGAGCAUUGCUGAGGAUUGUGGGAAAACGACGAGCCAGAUUCUUAUCCGCUGGAACUUGGACAAAAAGAUUCCUGCUAUCCCAAAAUCAACUAGAGUAGAGCGAGUGUUGGAAAAUUCUCAGGGAUACUGUCCACUAGGCAAUGGCCAAAUUCUUAAUGAACCCCAAAUUCAAGAGAUUGCCGAUGUGCACAACAAAUCCCCCGCCCAGGUCCUCAUUCGUUGGAAUCUUCAGAGGAGAGUUGUGUGUAUUCCAAAGUCCACCAAGGAGCACAGGGUCAAAGAGAAUGCUGAGGUGUUUGACUUUGCUCUGUCUCAAAAAGAUUUGGAUGCUCUUGAUAUUUUACACUGUGACCUUCAUAUGUCAUGGGACCCAAAUUUACUGAAGUGAUGUUUUCCAUAACCCUUGUGGCACCUCACACUCACACGCUAUCCUUGAGGAGGUGUUUAAUUUCGUUCUCACGGAUGAAAACAUGGCAAGAUUGGACAAUAUGGCACAAAAUUUAACCAUCAUGGAUCCCAGUUCUAUACAAGCUAAGAUUGACAACCCCUUACCUGAUGGAUACAAGCUCAACAUU
rnacentral:misc_RNA from 1 species